AUUGAACGCUGGCGGCAUGCCUUACACAUGCAAGUCGAACGGUAACAGGUCUUCGGAUGCUGACGAGUGGCGAACGGGUGCGUAAUACAUCGGAACGUGCCCAGACGUGGGGGAUAACGAGGCGAAAGCUUUGCUAAUACCGCAUACGAUCUAAGGAUGAAAGCAGGGGACCGCAAGGCCUUGUGCGUUUGGAGCGGCCGAUGGCAGAUUAGGUAGUUGGUGAGAUAAAAGCUUACCAAGCCGACGAUCUGUAGCUGGUCUGAGAGGACGACCAGCCACACUGGGACUGAGACACGGCCCAGACUCCUACGGGAGGCAGCAGUGGGGAAUUUUGGACAAUGGGCGAAAGCCUGAUCCAGCAAUGCCGCGUGCAGGAUGAAGGCCUUCGGGUUGUAAACUGCUUUUGUACGGAACGAAAAGGCUCUGGCUAAUACCUGGGGCACAUGACGGUACCGUAAGAAUAAGCACCGGCUAACUACGUG
rnacentral:rRNA from 1 species